AAGUGGUCGAGAGCAAAGACUAUUGGACUGCAAAGCUAAGGGAUUUGCAAGGGUUCGAAACCUUUUU
rnacentral:tRNA from 12 species